rnacentral:rRNA from 1 species
UAGGGAAUCUUCCGCAAUGGACGAAAGUCUGACGGAGCAACGCCGCGUGAGUGAAGAAGGAUUUGGGUUCGUAAAACUUUGUUGGUAGGGAAGAAAAAAUGUAUAGUAACUAUAUACAAAAGAGACGGUACCUAACCAGAAAGCCACGGCUAACUACGUGCCAGCAGCCGCGGUAAUACGUAGGUGGCAAGCGUUGUCCGGAAUUAUUGGGCGUAAAGCGCGCGCAGGUGGUUUAGAAAGUCUGAUGUGAAAGCCCACGGCUCAACCGUGAAGGGUCAUUGGAAACUAAUAAACUUGAGUGCAGGAGAGAGAAGUGGAAUUCCUAGUGUAGCGGUGAAAUGCUUAGAGAUUAGGAGGAACACCGGUGGCGAAAGCGGCUUUUUUGCCUGCAACUGACACUGAGGCGCGAAAGCGUGUGGAGCAAACAGG